rnacentral:rRNA from 1 species
AUGGCGGCUUGUGCUGCGCCCCCUUGCGUCCGCAUCUCCUGCUCCACACCUUCACCGACCGCUCUCCGCCGGCCACGCCGCCGGCGCGUCGCCUCCGCCCGAUGCUCCCUCGCCGCAGCCCCCGGUCUCCGGGCGCCGCCGGAGCUCGUCGACUCCAUCCUCUCCAAGGUGAAGGGGACUGACCGGGGCGUGCUGCUGCCGGAGGAAGGCCACCAGGAGGUCGCCGACGUCGCGCAGCAGCUGGGGAAGUACUGCAUCGACGAGCCCGUCAAGUCCCCGCUUAUAUUCGGAGACUGGGACGUGGUGUAUUGCUCGGUGCCGACAUCCCCCGGAGGGAUUUACCGCACCCCUCUCGGACGGCUGGUGUUCAAGACCGACGACAUGGUUCAGGUGGUGGAAGCCCCCGACAUCGUCAGGAACAAGGUCUCCUUCUCCAUCUUUGGCCUCGAUGGCGCGGUGUCUCUGACAGGCAAGCUGAAUGUAUUGGACAGUAAGUGGAUUCAGGUCAUAUUUGAGCCCCCGGAACUGAAGGUAGGCUCCUUGGGUUUCCGAUAUGGUGGCGAGAGUGAGGUCAAGCUGGAAAUCACCUAUGUCGAUGAGAAGAUCAGGCUCGGGAAAGGAUCCCGAGGCUCGCUUUUCGUCUUCCUGAGACAAGAUUAG